GGUCAAGUUUCUAAGAGCAAACGGUGGAUGCCUUGGCAUCUGGAGCCGAUGAAGGACGUAGAAAUCUGCGAUAAGCCUCGGGGAGCUGAUAAUCGAGCCUCGAUCCGAGGAUUUCCGAAUGGGGAAACCCCGCCAGGCGCUUUGCGACCUGGUGACUCCCGCCUGAAUAUAUAGGGCGGGUAGAGGGAACGUGGGGAAGUGAAACAUCUCAGUACCCACAGGAAGAGAAAACAACAUGUGAUUCCGUGAGUAGUGGCGAGCGAAAGCGGAUGAGGCUAAACCGAUCAUGUGUGAUAGCCGGCGGGCGUUGCAUGGUCGGGGUUGUGGGACACGUCACUCAGUUCUGCCGGACUGGGACGGUUACAGCGCAUCAUAGUCGAACCGGUUUGAAAGCCGGGCCGUAGUGGGUGCCAGCCCCGUAGACGAAAUGGUGUUAUGGCCGGAUGUGUAUCCCAAGUAGCACGGGGCCCGAGAAAUCCCGUGUGAAUCUGUCAGGACCACCUGAUAAGCCUAAAUACUCCCAGAUGACCGAUAGCGGACAAGUACCGUGAGGGAAAGGUGAAAAGUACCCCGGGAGGGGAGUGAAAUAGUACCUGAAACCGUUUGCUUACAAACCGUCGGAGCCUCCUUAGUAGGGGUGACGGCGUGCCUUUUGAAGAAUGAGCCUGCGAGUUAGUGAUAUGUGGCGAGGUUAACCCGUGAGGGGCAGCCGUAGCGAAAGCGAGUCUGAAUAGGGCGUUUGAGUCGCAUGUUCUAGACCCGAAGCGAAGUGAUCUAUCCAUGGCCAGGUUGAAGCGACGGUAAGACGUCGUGGAGGACCGAACCCACUUCAGUUGAAAAUGGAGGGGAUGAGCUGUGGAUAGGGGUGAAAGGCCAAUCAAACUUCGUGAUAGCUGGUUCUCUCCGAAAUGCAUUUAGGUGCAGCGUUGCGUGUUUCUCGCCGGAGGUAGAGCUACUGGAUGGCCGAUGGGCCUCAACAGGUUACUGACGUCAGCCAAACUCCGAAUGCCGGUGAGUGAGAGCGCAGCAGUGAGACGGUGGGGGAUAAGCUUCAUCGUCGAGAGGGAAACAACCCAGACUACCAACUAAGGUCCCUAAGCGUGUGCUAAGUGGGAAAGGAUGUGGAGUUGCACAGACAACCAGGAGGUUGGCUUAGAAGCAGCCACCCUUGAAAGAGUGCGUAAUAGCUCACUGGUCAAGUGAUUCCGCGCCGACAAUGUAACGGGGCUCAAGCACACCACCGAAGUUGUAGAUUUCGCACUAUAGACAAGCCUUCGUGGUUCAGUCGUGCGGAGUGGUAGGAGAGCGUCGUGUGGCGAGUGAAGCGGCGGAGUGAUCCAGCCGUGGACGCUACACGAGUGAGAAUGCAGGCAUGAGUAGCGAAAGACGGGUGAGAAACCCGUCCUCCGAAAGACCAAGGGUUCCAGGGCCAGGUUAAUCCGCCCUGGGUAAGUCGGGACCUAAGGCGAGGCCGACAGGCGUAGUCGAUGGACAACGGGUUGAUAUUCCCGUACCGGCGAACAACCGCCCAAGCUAAUCCAGUGGUGCUAAGAGUCCUAACCCGGUACAACCGGAUCCCUUCGGGGUGAUGGUGGCCGGUCUAACGCUCGACCCCAUGCUGGUGCGGUUAGCGUAUGAACAGGUGUGACGCAGGAAGGUAGCUGAGCCAGGCGAUGGUAUCCGUAAGGUGAACCUGGUGUAAGGAUGUAGGGCUGACGAUAGGCAAAUCCGUCGUCUGUACGCCUGAGAUCCGACGCGUACCCGUAAGGGGAAAUCAGUGAUCCU
rnacentral:rRNA from 1 species